rnacentral:tRNA from 1 species
GCGGACGUGGCGGAAUUGGUAGACGCACUAGAUUUAGGUUCUAGCAAGGUCAUCUUGUAAGAGUUCAAGUCUCUUCGUCCGUA